UUUCGAAUCAUUCACAAUGGGCGAAAGCCUGAUGGUGCGACGCCGCGUGAGGGAUGAAGGUCUUCGGAUUGUAAACCUCUGUCACUGGGGAGAAAACGCUUUGAGUUAAUAGUUCAAAGCCUGAUUUAACCCGGAGAGGAAGCAGUGGCUAACUCUGUGCCAGCAGCCGCGGUAAUACAGAGACUGCAAGCGUUAUUCGGAUUCACUGGGCGUAAAGGGUGCGCAGGCGGCCGGGUGUGUCAGAUGUGAAAUCCCGAGGCUCAACCUCGGAACUGCGUCUGAAACUACUCGGCUAGAGUAUUGGAGAGGGUAACGGAAUUCACGGUGUAGCAGUGAAAUGCGUAGAUAUCGUGAGGAACACCAGAGGCGAAGGCGGUUACCUGGACAAUUACUGACGCUCAGGCACGAAAGCAUGGGGAGCAAAAG
rnacentral:rRNA from 1 species